rnacentral:rRNA from 1 species
GAUGAACGCUGACAGAAUGCUUAACACAUGCAAGUCAACUUGAACUUCGGUUUGUGUGGCGGACGGGUGAGUAACGCGUACAGAACUUGCCUCACAGCUAGGGACAACAUUUGGAAACGAAUGCUAAUAACUGAUAUUAUGAUUAUAUGGCAUCGUAUAAUUAUGAAAGCUAUAUGCGCUGUUAGAGAGCUUUGCGUUACAUUAGCUAGUUGGAGAGGUAACAGCUCACCAAGGCGAUGAUGGGUAGCCGGCCUGGGAGGGUGAUCGGCCACAAGGGGACGAGGACAGGGCCCGUACGCCUACGGGAGGCAGGAGUGGGAAAUAUUGGGAAAUGGACCGAGCGUCUGAUCGAGCAAUUCUGUGUGCACGAUGAAGUUUUUCGGAAUGAAAAGUGCUGUCAGUUGGGAAGAAAAAAAUGACGGUACCAACAGAAGAAGUGACGGCUAAAUACGUG